CUUUGACCUUUGCAUAUAUUUUAAGGUCAAAGGUCAAUGAAUCUUAUGCAGUUGGUCCCAUGUCUCUACGACUUAUCGUUUUGAAAAUUUUUAAUUAUUCGUAAACAUCAAAAACUUUCAGGGGCAAUAACUCAUAAAAGGGGUUGACGAAUACUUUCGCAAUGAAAAGAUUGAAGAGUCCCCUCAAUUAGUCGAAGACAUUGGUGAAGGUUUCAUACCUCUACGGUUUACGGUUUCGGAGGAGUAGCGAUAACAAGCUUUCUAUCGAAAGGGGCAAUAACUGCGAAAGCGGUCAUAGUUCAUAUAUGCAGGGUCAAUUGCAAAAAUCUUUUACGGAGUACAUUCUUAUGAACUAUAAUUCUUUUCGAUAGAUCUUGAAACUCAAAAUCACACGGCGGAAAAAUAAUAAAAAAUAA